rnacentral:rRNA from 1 species
UUAGGUAAGCAAUGGAGAGACGCAGGAAGGUAGCCGAACCGCGGCGAUGGUUGUUCCGCGGGUAAGGGUGUAGGGCGAGGUGUAGGCAAAUCCGCACCUCAUGUGCCUGAGACCUGACACGGACCCGUAAGGGGAAGUCGGUGAUCCUAUGCUGCCAAGAAAAUCUUCUAGCGAGGUUCUAGCCGCCCGUACCCCAAACCGACUCAGGUGGUUAGGUAGAGAAUACCAAGGCGAUCGAGUGAAUCGUGGUUAAGGAAUUCGGCAAAAUACCCCCGUAACUUCGGGAGAAGGGGGGCCCAGAGGGUGACGGGACUUGCUCCCCGAGCCUGAACGGCCGCAGAGACCAGGGAGAAGCGACUGUUUACUAAAAACACAGGUCCGUGCCAAGUCGCAAGACGAUGCAUACGGACUGACGCCUGCCCGGUGCUGGAACGUUAAGGGGACCGGUUAGCCUCACGGCGAAGCUGAGAACUUAAGCGCCAGUAAACGGCGGUGGUAACUAUAACCAUCCUAAGGUAGCGAAAUUCCUUGUCGGGUAAGUUCCGACCUGCACGAAUGGCGUAACGACUUCUCCACUGUCUCAACCACGAACUCGGCGAAAUUGCACUACGAGUAAAGAUGCUCGUUACGCGCAGAAGGACGGAAAGACCCCGGGACCUUUACUACAGCUUGGUAUUGGUGUUCGGUACGGCUUGUGUAGGAUAGGUGGGAGACUGUGAAGCUGACACGCCAGUGUCGGUGGAGUCAACGUUGAAAUACCACUCUGGUCGUUCUGGAUAUCUAACCUAGGUCCGUAAUCCGGAUCAGGGACAGUGCCUGGUGGGUAGUUUAACUGGGGCGGUUGCCUCCUAAAAGGUAACGGAGGCGCCCAAAGGUUCCCUCAGCCUGGUUGGCAAUCAGGUUUCGAGUGUAAGUGCACAAGGGAGCUUGACUGUGAGACUGACAAGUCGAACAGGGACGAAAGUCGGGACUAGUGAUCCGGCGGUGGCUUGUGGAAGCGCCGUCGCUCAACGGAUAAAAGGUACCCCGGGGAUAACAGGCUGAUCUUGCCCAAGAGUCCAUAUCGACGGCAUGGUUUGGCACCUCGAUGUCGGCUCGUCGCAUCCUGGGGCUGGAGUAGGUCCCAAGGGUUGGGCUGUUCGCCCAUUAAAGCGGUACGCGAGCUGGGUUUAGAACGUCGUGAGACAGUUCGGUCCCUAUCCUCUGCGCUGCAGGAAACUUGAGAAGGGCUGUCCCUAGUACGAGAGGACCGGGAUGGACGAACCUCUGGUGUGUCAGUUGUUCUGCCAAGAGCACCGCUGAUUAGCUACGUUCGGGAGUGAUAACCGCUGAAAGCAUCUAAGCGGGAAGCAUGCUUCAAGAUGAGGUUUCCAUGGGGUUUACCCCGAGAGGCUCCCAGCUAGACUACUGGGUUGAUAGGCCGGAUGUGGAAGUGCGGUAACGCAUGGAGCUGACCGGUACUAAUAAGCCGAUAACUUGAC